UACAGAGGUGGCAAGCGUUGUUCGGAAUUACUGGGCGUAAAGGGCGCGUAGGCGGUUCGCUAAGUCCCGCGUGAAAUCCCCCGGCUCAACCGGGGAACUGCGCGGGAAACUGGUGGGCUUGAGUUCGGGAGAGGGAAGCGGAAUUCCGGGUGUAGCGGUGAAAUGCGUAGAUAUCCGGAGGAACACCGGUGGCGAAGGCGGCUUCCUGGACCGACACUGACGCUGAGGCGCGAAAGCUAGGGGAGCAAACGGG
rnacentral:rRNA from 1 species